ACCUCGGAUCAGGUAGGGAUACCCGCUGAACUUAAGCAUAUCAAUAAGCGGAGGAAAAGAAACCAACAGGGAUUGCCCCAGUAACGGCGAGUGAAGCGGCAAGAGCUCAAAUUUGAAAUCUGGCCCCUCCGGGGUCCGAGUUGUAAUUUGCAGAGGAUGCUUCGGGUACGGCCCCGGUCUAAGUCCCCUGGAACGGGGCGUCGUAGAGGGUGAGAAUCCCGUCUGGGAUCGUCGGCCGUGCCCGUGUGAAGCUCCUUCGACGAGUCGAGUUGUUUGGGAAUGCAGCUCUAAAUGGGUGGUAAAUUUCAUCUAAAGCUAAAUACUGGCCGGAGACCGAUAGCGCACAAGUAGAGUGAUCGAAAGAUGAAAAGCACUUUGAAAAGAGAGUUAAACAGCACGUGAAAUUGUUGAAAGGGAAAGCGCUUGCGACCAGACUCGCCCGCGGGGUUCAGCCGGGAUUCGUCCCGGUGUACUUCCCCGCGGUCGGGCCAGCGUCGGUUUGGGCGGCCGGUCAAAGGCCCCGGGAAUGUAUCGCCCUCCGGGGCGUCUUAUAGCCCGGGGUGCAAUGCGNCCUGCCCGGACC
rnacentral:rRNA from 1 species